rnacentral:rRNA from 1 species
UACCAUCACCCCGAGUGGUCGGGACGUUUAUUGGGCCUAAAGCAUCCGUAGCCGGUUCUACAAGUCUUCCGUUAAAUCCACCUGCUCAACAGAUGGGCUGCGGAAGAUACUAUGGAGCUAGGAGGCGGGAGAGGCAAGCGGUACUCGAUGGGUAGGGGUAAAAUCCGUUGAUCCAUUGAAGACCACCAGUGGCGAAGGCGGCUUGCCAGAACGCGCUCGACGGUGAGGGAUGAAAGCUGGGGGAGCAAACCGG